CUGUGGCCUGGUUCGAUUCCGUUCGAUUUCGUCCAGGUAAAGCCGGGUCGCGGUCCUCUCCUUCUUGUUUCUCCAAAUCAGAUGGCCAAAUCAGCAGCAAGCAAUAGCGCGGGGGCGGAUCUGCAGUUCUUCAACCAUGUGGUGGGGUAGCACGGCGCAAGGAACGAGAGGCGAAGCAGACAUCAUCGACGCUCGCCAGCAGACCAACAUCGAUGCUUGCCGGCAGCCCGCCUUGCCCUUUUCCACCUCGGUAGCUAUCCCGCUCCUGCGCUCGGCCGUGUGCUCUUUCAUCAGAUCAGAUCGGAGUUCGGGGAAGAAGAAAUCCUGGCGUGGAAGAUCAUGUAGGCAGCCGCAAGCAAACUUGUGUGGAUUGGCACCCAGCUACCACCCUCUGCCAGCGAGAAACUUGUGCGGAUUCAACUGUAUCAGCUCAUAUCAUGGAGUCAUUUGUUAUUAUUUGUUUUGUAGAACAAAUUUGAUUUCUUCAUAUGUCUAGUACUAUAGUACAACUUGUUUGUCAUUCUUUUAUGUACUAAAUGGCUACAGGAGAUACUACUAAUCAGCUUUAGUUACUAGCUGA